AUUUACCACUAGGGGAGCUUUUAAAAAGCUGAGAUUAAAGUAAGGACUUUAAGACUCUUAGAACCUGAUCUGGUUAACACCAGCGGAGGGAAGUGGACUGAUACAUAU
rnacentral:ncRNA from 2 species